AGUGACAUCAGGUUGGUCCACAUCCUAGCAGUUCUCUUGGUGUUCCUGCGUGAUCAAAGGAUGACUGCCACACCCCAGCCUGCUGACCUCAGCCCUGGCGUGGGCAUAGGAGGGUCUGCGUGGCUGAGCAUCCAGUGUCCUUCGUACUGCCACUGACAGCCUCAGGCCUGAUUUCCAGCACUGUCUGUCCAGGAGCAAUGGGAGCAAGAGUCACUCCACAAGACCCUGGAGGCCUGAUAGACAAAAUACAUGAAAACCAGUUUCUACACAGAGAAUCAGUAAAAGAUGGCCAGGCGCGGUGGCUCACGCCUGUAAUCCCAGCACUUUGGGAGACCGAGGCGGGCGGAUCACAAGGUCAGCAGAUCGAGACCAUCCUGGCUAACAUGGUGAAACCCCAUCUCUACUAAAAAUACAA
rnacentral:sRNA from 1 species